CGGAGUGGCGGACGGGUGAGGAAUACAUCGGAAUCUACUCUGUCGUGGGGGAGUAACGUAGGGAAACUUACGCUAAUACCGCAUACGACCUACGGGUGAAAGCAGGGGAUCUUCGGACCUUGCGCGAUUGAAUGAGCCGAUGUCGGAUUAGCUAGUUGGCGGGGUAAAGGCCCACCAAGGCGACGAUCCGUAGCUGGUCUGAGAGGAUGAUCAGCCACACUGGAACUGAGACACGGUCCAGACUCCUACGGGAGGCAGCAGGG
rnacentral:rRNA from 1 species